rnacentral:tRNA from 1 species
CCUGGUGGCUCAGAUGGUAAAGCAUCUGCUUACAAUGCGGGAGGACCCAGGUUCAAUCCCUGGGUCAGGA